UAUUUUCGAAUGGGAUUCAAAUUUUUUGUUUAGAUUGUGCAUUUUCAAGGAGGCAUUUUUUUCAUUUUACAAUAACUGAAUCAUUAGUAGGAGAUUUGCCAUUGAUGUAAGUUAGGACGAUCGUUUAUGAAGUUUAAAUAAAGAUUAACCAUAAAUGAAAAGUUGCAGGAAAAAGAGUGGACUAAGAUAGAGUUGUUUGUUAACUGUAAAAGCAAGGAAUUUAGGUGUAUAGAUUUGUUGAACAAAUUCAAUGAAGUGUAAUAUUUUCAUAAAAUCCUCCAUUAAAUGGCAUUUAGUAUAUGUAUAUAUUUCACAAUUAACUUUUAUUGUAUUUUUUUAAACUUUGAUCUACAUUUAAUCUUUUAAAACUACACCUUAAAUUUUUUUUGUACAUGCAUAGCAAUUUUUUUUAUUUGAAUUUGCCAUUUCUUGUUGUUAUAAACACAAAUAUAUCUAUAAUAUCCAUUUUUAUCCCUUUUAAAAUAUUUACAAAUGUUCUAAGAGCAUUAAAGAUUUUAUCACUUUGUUUAUAAACUUGUUACAUGUAUUGAGGAAUUUUAAAAUAUUACAGCAUAUGAUUAAGUAAUUGAUAUAUUGUAGUUUGACUUAGUUUUUUUUUUAAUUUUGUUAUGCGUAUCUUUUAGACCUAUACUAUAUGAAAGGCACUUGAAAUAAGUGGAAGAUAAGAUAUAUGUACAUUAAUGAUAUUAACAUGUUGAGGAAUUUUUAAUUUUUAGCAAUGGCUAGUGUUUUAUAACUUAACAGUAGUUAACAGAAAGACAUCAAUGAUUUAGACUGCUUACCCAUUAGAAAUUGUUACUGAAAACCACUCUCAGGGAAUAGAAAGCAAACAAACAAUAACUACAACAAAAGUCUGUAUAUUUAAUCACAUCACUGAAGUAGCACUGUUUGUGUGGAGAGGAGAACGCGAUUAAAAGGUCCAAAAAACAACAGUCUUCCAUUUUGUUUUUGUACAAGACUGUAUAUGUGCAACAACCAUGCAAAUGCUUUUUGUUACAGUCCAUACAUAUGUUGUUACGGACUUGAGUGUAGAAAAUUCAUCAUGGUUUCAUAUGUAUGUCUUUUAUAAUUCUUGUUUUAAUGAAGGUUAUCGUCACUAGAGGGAAAAAAGUGUUUCGUGUUUUGGGUCAAUUCUUACUGAAGGUCAUAGUACUCGCGUGCAUGCUAACUGUAAUAGAGGUCAAAUCAUGGGUUUUCAAAUUGGCUGGGACCAGAAUUGAAUUAAUUCAUAAACGAAAAAAAAAAAAGAUCUGAAAAUUGACCUGAAGUAAGAAUUGGCUGAAGUAAAUCAAUUAUUGUACAGGUAGACUUGUAGAUCAUAGUGCAGCGUUAGUGUUUGUAUGGAGUUUGAAAAGUCUUGUGAGAUCAUGUGAUCAUGUAGAACGUCAUUAAUCUGUUUUUUGUAUUGAUACACAAAAUUUUUUGUCUUUUUUUUUUUUAAUUUGCAUUCAUUGGUAGAAUUUUAAUUUCAUGUCGAAUCAUGUCAUCAUUCAUUAGAAAAUAAAAAAAAUCACUUGGUUGAUU
rnacentral:sRNA from 1 species